UGCAGGGAACCUCUAAGGCAUGAAUCGC
rnacentral:piRNA from 1 species